GACGAACGCUGGCGGCGUGCUUAACACAUGCAAGUCGAACGGUAAGGCCCUUCGGGGUACACGAGUGGCGAACGGGUGAGUAACACGUGGGUGAUCUGCCCUGCACUUCGGGAUAAGCCUGGGAAACUGGGUCUAAUACCGGAUAGGACCACUGCCUGCAUGGGUGGUGGUGGAAAGCUUUUGCGGUGUGGGAUGGGCCCGCGGCCUAUCAGCUUGUUGGUGGGGUGAUGGCCUACCAAGGCGACGACGGGUAGCCGGCCUGGGAGGGUGACCGGCCACACUGGGACUGAGAUGCGGCCCAGACUCCUACGGGAGGCAGCAGUGGGGAAUAUUGCACAAUGGGCGCAAGCCUGAUGCAGCGACGCCGCGUGAGGGAUGACGGCCUUCGGGUUGUAAACCUCUUUCAGCACCGACGAAGCGCGAGUGACGGUAGGUGCAGAAGAAGGACCGGCCAACUACGUGCCAGCCGCCGCCGUAA
rnacentral:rRNA from 1 species